CUCUUAUCCAGAGCGGUGGAGGGACCGGCCCUGUGAAGCCGCGGCAACCGGUGGGCGUGCGCCCACGUCACGGUGCCAAUUCCGGCCCGCUUCGGCGGGGAAGAUAAGGG
rnacentral:ncRNA from 2 species